rfam:Eubacterium plexicaudatum ASF492 genomic scaffold acLZb-supercont1.23, whole genome shotgun sequence.
GGAAUCCAGUCUGGUAAGACUUAGCAGGUCGCCAGUACCGAGUCCUUGAAGCGCCAACGGCUAACAAUGGUGUUUAAGCGUAGGACAGGGAACAGGAACGCCGUAAUGCGAAAGCGUGAAGCGAUUGAGCUUCGUCAGAAUUAUCGAUUGUGUGGGGUGGUCUGCUACCUCCUUGGGUCACCAAUAAGGAUUAGUCGCUAAGCGAGACUAUGAAAACACACUCUAGAGCA